AAUGAACGCUGGCGGCGCGCCUAAUACAUGCAAGUCGAGCGAGAAGACGUAGCAAUACGUUUGUAAAGCGGCGAACGGGUGAGGAAUACAUGGGUAACCUACCCUAGAGUGGGGAGUAACUAGCCGAAAGGUUAGCUAAUACCGCGUACGCUCCUUGGACUUCGGUUCAGGGAGGAAAGCGAUGCCGAGGGUAUCGCGCUCUUGGAUGGGCUCAUGUCCUAUCAGCUUGUUGGGGAGGUAACGGCUCACCAAGGCUUCGACGGGUAGCUGGUCUGAGAGGACGAUCA
rnacentral:rRNA from 1 species